UACGAAGGGGGCUAGCGUUGCUCGGAUUGACUGGGCGUAAAGGGCGCGUAGGCGGAUGGCACAGUCAGAUGUGAAAUUCCCGGGCUUAACCUGGGGGCUGCAUUUGAUACGUGUUGUCUAGAGUGAGGAAGAGGGUUGUGGAAUUCCCAGUGUAGAGGUGAAAAUUCGUAGAUAUUGGGAAGAACACCGGUGGCGAAGGCGGCAACCUGGUCCUUGACUGACGCUGAGGCGCGAAAGCGUGGG
rnacentral:rRNA from 1 species